rnacentral:sRNA from 1 species
GCGAGGGUGACCACCUCCCCCACUGCACCCCCCAGGGUGUGCUCCGUGCGCUCCGUGGACGGCUCACCCACGACGGCCUUCACAGUGCUGGAGUGCGAGGGCUCCCGGCGGCUCGGCUCUCGGCCCCGGCGCUACCUGCUCACCGGCCAGGCCAACGGCAGCUUGGCCAUGUGGGACCUAACCACCGCCAUGGACGGCCUCGGCCAGGCCCCUGCAGGUGGCCUGACGGAGCAAGAGCUGAUGGAACAGCUGGAACACUGCGAGCUGGCCCCGCCAGCUCCCUCAGCUCCCUCAUGGGGCUGUCUCCCCAGCCCCUCACCCCGCAUCUCCCUCACCAGCCUCCACUCAGCCUCCAGCAACACCUCCUUGUCUGGCCACCGUGGGAGCCCAAGCCCCCCGCAGGCUGAGGCCCGGCGCCGUGGUGGGGGCAGCUUUGUGGAACGCUGCCAG